UUUUAGUAGAAAAAAAAAAAAAGGCUCCAUUUAGGAUGAAAAAUUUGCAGCAAGCAAACUGGUGAGGCAGGGUCAAAAUCCAAAAUAACUCUCCCACUUCUCAACAUCACUGAGCUAAGAGGUUUUUUAUGAGAUUACACAGGCAUAUUUUG